rnacentral:sRNA from 1 species
CCCUAGCCCCGAUUGCAAUGGAAAGCCUUGUGCAACUCAAGCUGAUUUUUUCUUGCUGAACCAAAGCGACCCAAGGAAGCUCUUGGGGCAGCUUUGAAAAAACAGGUUGAGGAAACAAGCUUGGAAUGGAAAGCGGGAAUAGCU